UUGAGUUCAUCACCCAUCUAAGUAUCUCAUAUAGGUUAGGGAUCAAAACAUUGCGUUCAGCAAAGUCAAUAGCCAGAUGGAAGCCAAGCCAGCGACGGUUUUGUUCAUUGUGCUCCUUGGAUGCUCCGCGGUCGCGUUGGUUUUCUCAAUUGAUAGUGAGAUCGGCAGAUCAGGUGGUCUUCGUCUUUCGGAUGACGAGACUAGCAACGACCACAUCUCGUCACCAAAAAUAAGGUGCUUUCGGAGGAUGUAUGACCUUGUCCACAACAAGUUCUGUUGCGCAACGUUGAAGGAUUAUCCUUGCUGGCCAACGUUGGACGAGUGCAUCCCGAAUUGCCCAUAGGUCCUGCCAGUGCUACCUUCUUGCCCCCUAAUCAAUGCAGCGUGUUGAUCUUAGAUGUUUCUGUCGAUCAGGGUUGAGUCUGUAAAUGAAACGAAAAAUUGAAUGAAGGGAAAAAAUAAAUUCCUUUGCGGGGGAGCAAAUUGGGUUUC